CUAACCUAACGGCGGACGGGUGAGUAAUGCUUAGGAAUCUGCCUAUUAGUGGGGGACAACAUUCCGAAAGGAAUGCUAAUACCGCAUACGCCCUACGGGGGAAAGCAGGGGAUCUUCGGACCUUGCGCUAAUAGAUGAGCCUAAGUCAGAUUAGCUAGUUGGUGGGGUAAAGGCCUACCAAGGCGACGAUCUGUAGCGGGUCUGAGAGGAUGAUCCGCCACACUGGGACUGAGACACGGCCCAGACUCCUACGGGAGGCAGCAGUGGGGAAUAUUGGACAAUGGGCGAAAGCCUGAUCCAGCCAUGCCGCGUGUGUGAAGAAGGCCUUUUGGUUGUAAAGCACUUUAAGCGAGGAGGAGGCUACUUGGAUUAAUACUCUAGGAUAGUGGACGUUACUCGCAGAAUAAGCGCCGGCUAACUCUGUGCCAGCAGCCGCGGUAAUACAGAGGGUGCGAGCGUUAAUCGGAUUUACUGGGCGUAAAGCGUGCGUAGGCGGCUUUUUAAGUCGGAUGUGAAAUCCCUGAGCUUAACUUAGGAAUUGCAUUCGAUACUGGGAAGCUAGAGUAUGGGAGAGGAUGGUAGAAUUCCAGGUGUAGCGGUGAAAUGCGUAGAGAUCUGGAGGAAUACCGAUGGCGAAAGCAGCCAUCUGGCCUAAUACUGACGCUGAUGUACGAAAGCAUGGGGAGCAAACAGGAUUAGAUACCCUGGUAGUCCAUGCCGUAAACGAUGUCUACUAGCCGUUGGGGCCUUUGAGCUUUAGUGCGCAGCUAACGCGAUA
rnacentral:rRNA from 1 species